UACGGAGGGUGCAAGCGUUAUCCGGAUUCACUGGGUUUAAAGGGUGCGUAGGAGGGCAGGUAAGUCAGUGGUGAAAUCUCCGAGCUUAACUUGGAAACUGCCGUUGAUACUAUUUGUCUUGAAUACUGUGGAGGUCAGCGGAAUAUGUCAUGUAGCGGUGAAAUGCUUAGAUAUGACAUAGAACACCAAUUGCGAAGGCAGCUGGCUACACAAAUAUUGACACUGAGGCACGAAAGCGGGGGGAUCAAACAGG
rnacentral:rRNA from 1 species